GGACACUCGACAGCCAGUCACACAGAAAAAUGCAGCAGCUUUUGCCAUACACAACCAUGAUUGUUAUGCAUGGAAAACUCACACUGGUGCUCCUCUGCGACAACACAGAUUAAAGCCCAGGAUGAAGCAUCUGAGAUAAAGGGGGUCCAAAGCACUUGAAAAGGAGAUCCAGAUAUGAACAAAACUUCCAGAGAAGAACAGGUGAUUCCAGAGCCUGAACAUCUUUAGAGAAAUGCUGCAAAAACUUUCCACGUUGGAAAAGCAUUUCUACCAUAAGAAUGGCACUCACUGAUACCCACUUCUACCAGCCAAACCAAAAAAGGGAGAAAAUCAAAUCAAAACCCCUACCCAAGCAGAAUUUCUACCCCAAAAAGGGAAAAGUACCAGAGACUCCAUGAAUUCCACUAGACACUUCACAUGGAAGGUGCUCAGAUAACUACAAUGAUGGGUCACAGGAUAAAACAAAGAAAAAACAGGUCUCUUCUGCAUUCUCUCCACUCCCAAGAUACCCCUGGUACUGAGAGUUACUAGACUGAGCACUAUGCGCCAUCCCAGAUGGUGCUGAGACCAUCCAUGAGUCCUUCACUGGAUAUUUGAGCCUGCUAAAAAGAUGAGUGGAGGAAACCAUCCCUCUUGAUGCAAGACAUUUGGACCACAGUCCUGUCCUGGGGUGGUGGAGAGAAUGGACUCAGCACAGGGGCAAUGUCAGCACCAGAGCCAAGGCUCACAGCUGCUUCUUUAGAUGGUACUGCUGAGGGAUUCUCUAGAAAAUACCUCUGUGUCAGAGACACUGACAAAUGAUGGACCAUGGGCCCUAGUGCACCUUUCCUUCUACCGACAUGAUUUUUGGGUGUGAAGAAUGUUUUUUGUUUUUAUGUUUUAAAGCCUUAGAUGGAACUUUAGCUUAUCCAGUGCUGGGAACACAGCUUCAGAAAGAGUGAACCUCUUGUGUGGAGAAACUGGCAUAAAUUUCUUAACCCCAGAGAACAUAUCAAAGGCUUACUGGCACCAAGGGAUUUGGGGCUGUUGCUGUGUGGCUCCCUCUUACCAGAAAGUCCGUCAAGCACCAUUCAGUUACCUCCUGUCAAGUGAAGUGCCCUAUUGUAUCUAUGGCCCCAGAACUGUUUGAGUCUUGGACUACAAUUCCUGGGAAGGGUGAAGACUCCUCUACCAUGGUUAGCUCUAGUCCUCCUUUCUGUCUGUAAGAGCCAUGGCUGGAGAUGAUGGCCUAGGCCAAAACAGAUAACCUGGGUAAUGUACUUCCUCAUGGCUAAUAGUAGUGACCAGCUACUAGCACUGUGUCCUUGCUGCAUCACAGUGAUUUAAUUCUGAUCUGUUGCAUGCUACAGCCUUGGGAUUAAAGUUUUUUACACUUUGGAAUAGUAUAGAUUAAUGACUUACCUAACUACCCUAAAACCCCCAAAACUACAGAAGAGUUUAGGUCUCGUGUGAGCUAGACUGCUACAAGCACUUGAAGCAGUUAAGUGGCAAAAAAAAAAAAAAGAAAAAAAGUGGUAGUCAGGAGCCAUAUCCCUUUUAUAACCUUUGCAUUACAGCAUGAGGCUCACACAUUUCACUGCUGGGUGACAAUUCAAGGCAGAAUCUUCCUUACUCAGUGCCUGCGCCGAAAAUCCUUGUUGCCCAUGUCCUCAGCCUAGUACUGGGAGAGUAUGUCAGCAGUGAAUAGAAUGAGAAGUAUUUGUUCAACUGACCACUCCUGAAC